CACCAGGUGAUGCAAGGUCAACUUGAGAACUGUGAGCAGUUCUGAAAAACUGAAGAUGGAGGAAUCAUAAGUUCCUGUGCUGGUGGCUAUGCCCUGGGCAAUGACAAAGCCUGUGUUUCUGGCUUCAUCAAACAAGCUCUGCUGAGUGGCACUUCAGUGACAGAAAUUGCUUCCAACAGCAGCUGCUCUGCAAGGUUCCUUGCAUGUCACUCAGCUUGGUACCUCAGGGACAGCACAGGCACCAUGGCCCACAGAGGUGGAAGACCACAGUCCUCUAUUUCCAAUAUAUUGGCUUAAAUCAGGUCUUCAGCCCUGAAUGAUCUUGUGUCCCCAUUUCAGCAUCAAGCACGUGCUGAGAGGGGCAGCCCAGGGCAGUAGUGGGUUGCAGGUAUGGGAUUGCUGCAGCUACUUUCAUUAUCUGACAUGGGGAUGGCAGACAAGAAAAGGUAAGAGCCAAUGCACAGAGUGGAGAAAAUGUAUGGCCAUGCUGAAUUGGAUACAGAAACUUUCAGCAGCAACAGCAGCAGCACAGUCUUUGUCAAAUUGGAGAAACCUGUCACAUUUUCUGAAGAUGUUGUCCCAGCAGGCCUUCCAGAAGAUUUUGCUAGAUAUAUUCUUGUGGAAGAGGUUUUACAGUGACUUCUGUGAGCCAGAAAGAAGUUUGAUAAGAGGAUCCAUGUUUACCCCUGAAAGAAUCUUCUACCAAGGCCAUUGACAUAAAAACCAAGAAAGAAAGAAGGACAAAUAAGAUCUCUCAUGUAUCUGCAGCUACCUGCUCCAAUAAGCACUUUGUUUGUCUUUCCUGACCAAUGAGUAAAGUGUAAACUUUUGAGUCUUGUAAGAAUGUAAAAAGCAUCCAUGCUAUAAUAAAACUGGAUUUGAA